AUAGGUUUUAUCACAUUAACGAUCCUACUAUAUAAAAGCAGCUAAAUUGGAGCUCUCUAAGCACUACCACAUAGGCACAAAUAUUCCUAGCCAAUGAAAGUGCCAUGUCAUCCCAGACUGGGCUUGGAAAAAAAAAAUUAAGUUAGUUGCCCAGUCCAUUUAAACCAUUUCCCAGCCCAAUAUGUUAAUAUGAUAAGAGACGGUUCAGGUUAUAUCCCUUUAUCGAUCCCGUGUCUCUGAAAAUCACUCAUCCUCCCUAACCCUAAGCGCCGUCUCAGACCCUUUGUCGAUUCUCUUCCUCUCCCCCACCUUCCUAAACGCUCCCAGUUAAUCUCCUUUAUCAAGCGUACAAAGAAUCUUCGUAACUGUCUUCAGAUGCUGCUGUUGCGCAAUGCCUUCGACGCUCUUCGCCUCGGUCGAUCGUCGCAGUUCGUUAUCGCUCGGCUUCUCCGUUUUUGGGACUCGGAAAGUAUGAAGAACAUGGUGAAUUCAUAGAAUCACUCUACUUAUCCUUGAUGAGAAGGUAUUGUAACAAGAAGCAUCUUAUUUUAUUUUUUAUCUUAAUUUUGUUUUCGAAUAGCCCCAAUGAUUUAAAUCGUCUAACUGUAUCUGUUUGCCAUGCUGCAUAAAGUAAGAUAUGUAGCUUGAAAUUUGAGGGAAUGUUUUAGUAUUACAGGACCUCCUAUAGUCUCAAAGAGACUGAUGUGGCUGUCUUGGAAUCUUGACCCAUAAGGUGAUGAUUACUCUUUACGCACAGAUGGUGAUACCAUGCAUAGUUUGAUCAAACUCCAUUUAGGUUUUCUUUUGGGAAACAAAUGAAGGUAAAAAGCCAAGAGCAGAAACUAGCUGUGCCGGAACCAGCAUUGAUCAAGGACCUUGAUUCAAGGAAGAGAGAAUAUCCUUUUUGAGCAAUGGCUCGAUUGAUCAAGGAGAAACAGUGUUUUUCUAAAGCAAUGGGUACUGAAAACCUCCCCUUAAGUUGCAUUAAAGAAGCCAUCAUCAUUGAUGAAAGGAAAGAGCCUGCUAUAUUGAUGACGAUUGUGAUCACAGAGAAAGACACAAAGAAAUUUGAGCUUGGAUUCAGCAGGUGGUGGUAGCCAACAAGAUGAUACAAUCGUUGAGAGAUGUAACCCAUUGAGAGGAGAGAUAUAAGAAGCUCAUGAUUUGGUUUAAAAGAUGAGAUAUAAGAAGCUCGUGAUUUGGUUUAACAGAUGACAUAUAUAAGAGUUGAGGCUAAGUAGAAAUGUUAACCUUUGUGUUACGGUCAUUUGUUUGUCUUUUUCUGUCUCUGCAAUACAAACAGCUUUUACUCUGUUGUUUUUCCUUUUGGUUUCAGUUUGAAGCAAAAGCUAUGAAUCUGUCAUUUGUGUCAUCUGAGAUUAGACUUUUUGUUUGUAAUUGAUUAUUGUUUCUUUGGCAGCAAACAAAGCCUUGGAUUUUAAA